GGGUUCGGUCAGUGGGAAGGGGUGUAUUUAUUAGAUAAAAAAUCAAUGCUUUUCGGAGCUCUUUGAUGAUUCAUAAUAACUUUUCGAAUCGCAUGGCCUUGUGCUGGCGAUGGUUCAUUCAAAUUUCUGCCCUAUCAACUUUCGAUGGUAGGAUAGUGGCCUACCAUGGUUUCAACGGGUAACGGGGAAUAAGGGUUCGAUUCCGGAGAGGGAGCCUGAGAAACGGCUACCACAUCCAAGGAAGGCAGCAGGCGCGCAAAUUACCCAAUCCCGACACGGGGAGGUAGUGACAAUAAAUAACGAUACAGGGCCCUUUCGGGUCUUGUAAUUGGAAUGAGUACAAUGUAAAUACCUUAACGAGGAACAAUUGGAGGGCAAGUCUGGUGCCAGCAGCCGCGGUAAUUCCAGCUCCAAUAGCGUAUAUUAAAGUUGUUGCAGUUAAAAAGCUCGUAGUUGAACCUUGGGCUUGGUUGGCCGGUCCGCCUUUUUGGCGAGUACUGGACCCAACCGAGCCUUUCCUUCUGGCUAACCUUUCGCCCUUGUGGUGUUUGGCGAACCAGGACUUUUACUUUGAAAAAAUUAGAGUGUUCAAAGCAGGCCUUUGCUCGAAUAUAUUAGCAUGGAAUAAUAGAAUAGGACGUUAUGGUUCUAUUUUGUUGGUUUCUAGGACCAUCGUAAUGAUUAAUAGGGACGGUCGGGGGCAUCAGUGUUCAGUUGUCAGAGGUGAAAUUCUUGGAUUACCUGAAGACUAACUACUGCGAAAGCAUUUGCCAAGGACGUUUUCAUUAAUCAAGAACGAAAGUUAGGGGAUCGAAGAUGAUCAGAUACCGUCGUAGUCUUAACCAUAAACUAUGCCGACUAGGGAUCGGGGUGUUGUUCUUUUUUUGACGCACUCGGCACCUUACGAGAAAUCAAAGUCUUUGGGUUCUGGGGGGGAGUAUGGUCGCAAGGCUGAAACUUAAAGGAAUUGACGGAAGGGCACCACCAGGAGUGGAGCCUGCGGCUUAAUUUGACUCAACACGGGGAAACUCACCAGGUCCAGACACAAUAAGGAUUGACAGAUUGAGAGCUCUUUCUUGAUUUUGUGGGUGGUGGUGCAUGGCCGUUCUUAGUUGGUGGAGUGAUUUGUCUGCUUAAUUGCGAUAACGAACGAGACCUUAACCUACUAAAUAGUGCUGCUAGCUUUUGCUGGUAUAGUCACUUCUUAGAGGGACUAUCGAUUUCAAGUCGAUGGAAGUUUGAGGCAAUAACAGGUCUGUGAUGCCCUUAGACGUUCUGGGCCGCACGCGCGCUACACUGACGGAGCCAACGAGUAUUAACCUUGGCCGAGAGGUCUGGGAAAUCUUGUGAAACUCCGUCGUGCUGGGGAUAGAGCAUUGUAAUUAUUGCUCUUCAACGAGGAAUUCCUAGUAAGCGCAAGUCAUCAGCUUGCGUUGAUUACGUCCCUGCCCUUUGUACACACCGCCCGUCGCUACUACCGAUUGAAUGGCUUAGUGAGGCCUCCGGAUUGGUUUAAAGAAGGGGGCAACUCCAUCUUGGAACCGAAAAGCUGGUCAAACUUGGUCAUUUAGAGGAAAUCAUGUUUCCA
rnacentral:rRNA from 1 species